CUACGGUCCCGCCGCUACGGUUCCACGCAAGUGGAUGAAAAGGGAACGCGGUGCGGGCUGAUGAAGUCCAAAUCCGAGGCUGCCCUCGCAACUGUAAGCGGUAAGCUCGGCGAUCGUGCCACUGGCCCCAAGCGGCUGGGAAGGGAUCGCAAAGCGCAGGAGCCGCGAGCCAGGAGACCUGCCGUAUCGACAACCGCAAU
rnacentral:ncRNA from 2 species